GUUGAUGGUUGCUAGGGAAGGCUAUUGUGUAGCAGUUUCCUCCUGCAGGGAUGCUGUUGUACUAAGUAUUUAAUCUCCUUUGGGGGUUUCGACUCUGCCUUUGUUCCCAGCAGAAAAACAACACCAUCAACAACAAAGCUUCUCACUGAAUUCCGAGUUUCCCAGCGUGAGAUCAAGCAGCUCAGAAGCUUAGGAAAAGCAUCCAAAGGAAACUGUGCUUCCUUACAGUUCCUUGUUCACUGGGGCUAGAAACUCACUGUGAAGUCUUGUGAUCCCACAGACGCUGGCCAGCCACACACAAUGGGGCAGGAAAAGCUGAAGGAAGAGCCACUUAUGUGUGUGUGGGGUGGGCGAGGGUGGGGUCAAACCACUCUCCUGCGAGGGGAGGGGAGAGUCACUGUCUGAAUGAGGCUUCUCCAGGCUUCCCUUCUUGGCUGGAUUUUCACAUCUCUCUCAUUCUGACAGGCUUGGGACACUGCAAGAUUUACCUUCACCAACUGAAUACUGUAUUAGAACCAUGUUAACUUCUAUGUAUUUUCCUGUGUGCAAAGGAAAAUUCCCCUCAGAAGUAGGGCUUUAAACAGGACCUGUGGUUCUAGGGAGUCAGGCCCCUGAAUUCCUAAGCCCCACCACACACCCAGAAUCCUGGAGGUUGCAAAAGCAAGACCUUUGACUUAGUCCCCACUGCGGCCAUACAGUUUUUAGGCAGCUGCAGCCAUGCCCUUCCCACUCUCUACCUCCAAUUACAGAAAUUGCCCUCAGACCCUGUGCUGUGUACUGCCUUGUUCCCUCAGAUCCUGCACCACAGAGGUGUGAGGCUCCCCCUCCCAGACCAAUAAAAGUCUCUUCUUGCCACUGA